rnacentral:rRNA from 1 species
AUUGGACGCUGGCGGCAGGCCUAACACAUGCAAGUCGAACGGUAACAGGAAGACGCUUGCUUCUUUGCUGACGAGUGGCGGACGGGUGAGUAAUGUCUGGGAAACUGCCUGAUGGAGGGGGAUAACUACUGGAAACGGUAGCUAAUACCGCAUAACGUCGCAAGACCAAAGAGGGGGACCUUCGGGCCUCUUGCCAUCGGAUGUGCCCAGAUGGGAUUAGCUAGUAGGUGGGGUAACGGCUCACCUAGGCGACGAUCCCUAGCUGGUCUGAGAGGAUGACCAGCCAAACUGGAACUGAGAAACGGCCCAGACCCCUACGGGGGGCAGCAGUGGGGAAAAUGGCAAAAGGGGGGAAAGCCUGAUGAAGCCAGGCGGGGUGUAUGAAGAAGGCCUUGGGGUUUUAAAGUACUUUCAGGGGGGAGGAAGGGAGAAAAGUUAAUACCUUGGCUCAUGGACGUUACCCGAAAAAGAAGCACCGGCUAACUCCGG